rnacentral:rRNA from 1 species
AGAGUUUGAUCAUGGCUCAGGAUGAACGCUAGCGGCAGGCCUAAUACAUGCAAGUCGGACGGGACUAUUUCUAGUAGCAAUACCGGGAAUAGUUUAGUGGCGAACGGGUGCUUAACACGUGGGCAACCUGCCAGGAAGUGGGGGAUAGCUCGCCGAAAGGCGAAUUAAUACCGCAUGUGAUUAGAGAGGACAUCCUUUCGAAAUUAAAGUCGGGGCAACCUGACGCUUCUUGUGGGGCCCGCGGCCUAUCAGCUAGUUGGUGAGGUUACGGCUCACCAAGGCUUUGACGGGUAGCUGGUCUGAGAGGACGACCAGCCACACUGGGACUGAGACACGGCCCAGACACCUACGGGUGGCAGCAGUCGAGAAUUUUUGACAAUGGGGGAAACCCUGAUCGAGCGACGCCGCGUGGAGGAUGAAGGUCUUCGGAUUGUAAACUCCUGUCAUUGGGGAACAAUGCACAGAUAUUAACUGUAUUUGUGUUGAUAGUACCCGAAGAGGAAGAGACGGCUAACUCUGUGCCAGCAGCCGCGGUAAUACAGAGGUCUCAAGCGUUGUUCGGAUUCAUUGGGCGUAAAGGGUGCGUAGGCGGCGCGGUAAGUCGGGUGUGAAAUCUCGGAGCUUAACUCCGAAACUGCAUUCGAUACUGCCGUGCUUGAGGACUGGAGAG